rnacentral:misc_RNA from 1 species
CUGUGUCAGCGCCGGGGGCAUCUCCCUCGGUUCGCACACCCCUCUGUGUAUCUCUCUGGUUGCUUCGGCGAGUCGCAGACCUGUCUGUCGUCACCCCUUGGGUGAUGUGUAUUCGCCGAUAGACUCCCAAACUCUGGUUUUUGCAGUAACGUCUGAGCCAAUACUUGAAAAUUAAAUA